rnacentral:rRNA from 1 species
GAUGAACGCUGGCGGCGUGCCUAAUACAUGCAAGUCGUACGAAGGAGCUUGCUCCUUAGUGGCGAACGGGUGAGUAACACAUAAAUAAUCUGCCUCAAUGUCUGGGAUAACUAUUGGAAACGAUAGCUAAUACCGGAUAGCUUGUUAGAAGACAUCUUCUUUCAACUAAAGGAGCGUUCGCUCCGCUUUGAGAUGAGUUUAUGGCGCAUUAGUUAGUUGGCGGGGUAAUGGCCCACCAAGACGAUGAUGCGUAGCCGAUCUGAGAGGAUGACCGGCCACACUGGGACUGAGACACGGCCCAGACUCCUACGGGAGGCAG